GUCUUCGAAUGGAAACCUAGGUGGCUGCUCAUAUCUACUUCAGGUUUGGAUUUGGGAGCGUUUUCCAGUUGGAAGGCCCACUAAACCUCCGGGUUUGCCUGUAUGGGUGCAUGAAGAUGUUGGACCCACCGCCCUUUUCCUCUGGACAGAUGCUAAGGUAGUCAGGGGCGAAGCAGACAGGAGGUACAGGCAGUACACUGACGAGCUAGACGUGUUGACACACAACUACGUCACAUGGUCACCGUGGUCUCGGUGGGAGCUAGAGGGGUACCUUAGUCCACGCUGCGAGGAGGAGGAUAGCGAUUGGCUUUACGAUGGCCCACUCAUCUUCUUCCACGUGGUCGAGAUGCAC